rnacentral:rRNA from 1 species
UACGUAGGGUCCGAGCGUUGUCCGGAAUUAUUGGGCGUAAAGGGCGCGUAGGCGGUUCUUCAAGUCUCUCGUGAAAUCCCUCGGCUUAACUGAGGACGUGCGGGAGAUACUGAAGGGCUUGAGUCCGGAAGAGGGUGGUGGAAUUCCCAGUGUAGCGGUGAAAUGCGUAGAUAUUGGGAGGAACACCGGUGGCGAAGGCGGCCACCUGGGCCGGAACUGACGCUGAGGCGCGAAAGCGUGGGGAGCAAACGGG